rnacentral:lncRNA from 1 species
GCAAAUGUUUGAGUUUAACACCUUCAGUCUUCAUCACUUUCACCAGAACAUGUUGUUAAGUAAAACAUUUACAUCAAACCUGGAAACAGACAAAAGGACGUCCUGCUUUAAAGCUCCAUGUUCAACGUUCAGGCUCCUGCACAGGUGUUUUUUAUUUAUGAGGUCUGAUCAGACGUCUACUCAGGUGUGUGUGAGCUGUAAAUGUUUGAGUUUAACACCUUCAGUCUUCAUCACUUUCACCAGAACAUGUUUUUUAAGUGAAACAUUUAAAUCCACCUCAAACAUAAUAUUUAACUCACUGUCUAGAAACUUGAAUUGUCUUUUACACAUGUAUAAAAGGCUCCACUCAGAUCAUGUUUCCUCCAUCAGAGCUUCAGUCAGAAACUCUGAACAAUCUUCAACAGUGGAGGAGAAACAAAGUCUUCCACCAGUUUCCUGCUCUGAAGGAAACAUCUCAACUCUUCAUCGUGGGCAGCGAGAUCAAACUCUUUAGAAACACAUUCCUCAAGUCAGCAACUAAAGAAAUGAUCCCUGAAAGUAAAGUCUUGGUUUGUUCUGGAUGUUUCUCAGAGUCUUACGUCUGGAGACGAGCUCUCCUGGUCCUGGUGGCCUCCUGUGAAUCAGACACUCCUCCUACAAUCACAGCAUUCUCACGAUAUGUUGUGUAACUUCUUUGCUGCGUCUCAGUUCAGAGUCUGCAUCCUUCAGAGGAGCAUUUAAAGGGCAAUUACGUCACAACGCCGUAAGUAGGCUGUCCCAAUCUGAAGGCUCCUCCAGAUGCUCCUUCUUUUCCCUGUUUUUGGAGGAUGCACCGCUACGAUCCUUCGUGGCCUCACAUAUCUUUGCAUGCCUGAAAAAGAAGAAAGAAAGAGAGAAACAGGCGACAUCGCGUGACGUAGAUCGACACUUUUGUGGGCCUGGGCAGCAGAAAUCGUGACUUAAGGGUAAAACAUCUGGUGACGCAACCAGGAAAUGCUCCAAAGGCUAGACCAUCACAUUUAACAACGACUGACGAGGUUAACAAGGUCUCUCUGAAGGACUCGGCCUUCAAAGACCGCAAAGGCCGAGUCCUUCAGAGGAUGCAGAUCCUGAACUGAGACACAGCAACUG